CGGGAUUGAAGAUCAAAGGGAUUGUAUAGGGGGGGGGGGGUAAACAAUAAAGCCAUUGUUCUCAAAUAACAAAGGAUAUGUGUAACUUUUCCAUGACGUAUUUCAUGGGAUGAGUAUAUAUACGGAACGAGUGGGAAAGGAGUUGUCAUACCUUUUUUAGAGAACCAAACGAGUCACACGAUGUCCCAACCACGCUUGUCAGUAGCACUGGAAAACGGUCGUUAUGCCAAAGUACAAACAUGGCAAAACGAACCCAGACUGGAUGUGAGAGAAUGGGAAAACGGAGAGAAGUCCGUACCCACUAAAAAAGGAAUCAGUCUGAAAUUACAUCAAAUUAAAGUCCUGUAGGACAAAAUAGAGUUAAUCGAGGAAGCCCUGAAACAAAACGAGGAGAAGAAAUGGCAUUUGGGCUUUAACGUCUUCGUCUCGGUGAGGGAAAAUAAUUGUUGUGUCGAUAUUCGACAGUACUGGAAGCCGCUUAAUCACCACGACAUCGUUCCUACAAAGAAAGGACUGUGUCUGAGACCCGCAGAGUACGAACAUCUGAAGUCGAGAUGGGAAGACAUAAUGAAAAGCAUACCGGAACUGGAAACCUUCGUGCUAACCGAAUGGGAAUGUUACGAUGUUCCGCCUGUAAUCCCGACGAUUUCAUCAAUUGGUGAAAAAAAAAAAAAAAAACAAUGUUAAUGAACAUGAUAUCUGUAUGGCUUUUUUUUUUUCAGUAUCAUGUCUAUUUUUUUUUUUUUUUUUUUUGGUCAUUGUCACUGAAAUGUUUGUCUAGAAAAUAAAAAAUGGUGAUUUUGAAAUCACGUGUUGUUAUUUUGUUUUCAAUACGUAUGCAGACUGGAUAAAAAGUACGUUUCUAAAGACGUGUAUACAGUCAUACACGAACAUUCAUUCGGAUCAGUACAAUGAGUGUACGUCAAAUAUACGGGAAUAUCUUGUCCCUGAGUGAUGUGGAUGCCAUUUGCCAUCAGGUGAAUUGCUUGACCGUGUCCUCUCGCAGUCUGUCACUUCAGCUGGCUCACAAGUAUCCUUGGGCCGAUAUAUACGAGACGAGGCGCCCCAUGGGAAAACGCAACAUGGCCACUCCCGAGACGCGAGGUACUCCGGGUACCCUAAGUCUUUUCACGAGACCGAGAUGCCCUACCGUGGUCUGCUUUCUGUCUCAAUGGGAUUUCGGACGAUGUCAAAACGUUCGCAAACGUAAAAUUCCACCAUUUAUCGAUACGACAGAAAACCGAAGAGAGUGGUUUCAAAGGUGCUUAAACGAAUGAUAAUGAUGUAAAAUGAUAUUUGUUUUGACAGCUUCGACAACAACCACGGAGAAGUCUGUGCAUACUUCCUCUGAUCAUGGUGAAAUUACCACCUCUCAAUACUCGACACAUACACACAAUAUCAACACACAAACGUACAGUACCGAUCAUAUACAGUCACGCGAUAUCACCACUGACAAACCUACUACUGUUAAUACAUUUCACCCCGUUACAAAAAACGACAGUACCAUGUUCCCUAGUAUUAUUGACAGCAGUACAUCACGUGAUACACAUAUUGUCAGCAGUGCAAUACACACACAGUCAUCAGGUCCGAAUAAAAUACAUAGUAAAACUACAGAUAAAUCGGACACCACUACACAUUUUUUACAAAUUAUUACAAAGUCUAUUCUUAAGAUAAACACCACUACACCACGCAUCGAUUUAAUUAGCACCAAUGGAACUGUCGACCAUUCAUUCAACGGCGGCGUCACACCAUUGACACGAGACCCCCACACCCCCGACAACAUAAGCGACAGGAGUACUAUUUCAUCAUAUCCACGUGAAUAGUGAAAAAAGUACUCAUACCAAUGCAUUUUAUUUCUUAGGCUUAUUGGGUAUACCACUAUGCAUGAUUCUUUGUGUAUACUUUUAUUUUAAACACAAAAGAUCAGUUAAUAAUAGGAAUAUUGAAGACUGUAAAAUGUUUGAUGACUGAAAACUUGGUGUACUCGGCGGAAUCAUUUAGAAUGAAGACUUUACAAUAAGAAACUUUUUCACUAUCGUUAAACUUUCCUUGAGGACAUGUGUACCUCAUCACAAACUAUAUCAUUGUUGUUGUUUUUUUCCUUUUGUAUUUGCAUGCAAUAAAUGUAAUAUUCAUCAUAAUUAUUCGAUUACAUUACUUAUUCAUUAUUAUAGGGGGGGGGGGGGGGGAUAUCUACGCAUGACUUUGUAUUUUUAGUCCAGUCAUUAAUCGUCAAUUAACUCUUAGUCCAAUAGAUUGCAUGUUUUUUCUUUGAUUUUAUUUCAUUUGUCUUGACCAUCUAUAUUUUAUUUCCAUUAUAAAUGCUGUUUGUGCAUGAAAUGAUGUUGCUGUAGUUCAUGUAAGUAAAUUUGUGUUCUAUACACUGAAAAUAAAAAUCUGUGAUAUUAAAUGGGGGAAAAAAUGUCAUUGACAAAUAAUUUGAUAUAUCAAUCAUACUUGCGGGAUCAGUAAAUACAUGCCAAUCAUAUUGAACAUACUUUUUUAAUGAGAUAAAGUAAGACUUCAUUCAUAAUUUAUUUAAUUUUUUUAUUUUAUUUUAUUUAUUUAUUUAUUUUUAGUCACGGAAGCUUAUGGCAUGGGAGUGUCGGCCCUGACCCUCCUGGUACUGGGUGCGCACUCCGGUGGUUAAUUCGCCGGUAUGAUGUGGAGUGUCGCGCCCCAGUACGUAGGGCCAGGCCAUCGCGCCAGAGAGAAAUGAAUCCCUCCCCACCAGGAGAUGUAGAGAUGGGAGGCAUUGAAGAUACUGACAUAAACAUGGUCAACCCCUCCACAAUCCCACCGCGGUCUCCCAUUCAGACCCGUUCUAAGACUGGACAGAAGUAAUCCAGAUCAUGAGUGUAUAUGUUACGCGACUUUUUAUAUUAACCUGAAUACAAAAUUGAUGAAAAAAUGUACUUGUUUUUUAUUUCUUAUGUUCAUCGGAAUGAGAAUACUCUCUGAUAGAUACAGGAAUAUCCAUCGAUGCAUUAAAGUACAAUAAGUGUCAAGUUCCUUCACUCGGAGUCACUUGGAUUAUCUGAUACGAUCCCCUCCAUCGAUGAUCUAACGAGAAAUAGAAUUAUUUUCUCGGUGUCACUGUACGCAUUCCUUUUACGGGAUUGAAAGCUUUUGUCAUCCCGUGAACAAUGGCAUGCACUUUAUCGUAACUCCGUUCAUCGUUUUACCAAUCUUUACCAAUGCAUAUACGCCACUUUGGUUUAACGUUACCGGAAUUUUACAAAGACCGUGUCAGGUUUUUUCGUAUCCCUUAUUCACUCGGAAUUUCCAGACUCGAGUCCUUUGUUAUUUGAGAACAAUGGCUUUAUUGUUUACCCCCC